GUCAGGAUGAACGCUAGCGAUAGGCCUAACACAUGCAAGUCGAGGGGCAGCACAUGAGUAGCAAUACGAUGGUGGCGACCGGCGCACGGGUGAGUAACACGUAUGCAACCUACCUUUAACAGGGGGAUAACCCGUUGAAAAACGGACUAAUACUCCAUAACACAGGGGUCCCGCAUGGGAAUAUUUGUUAAAGAUUAAUCGGUUGAAGAUGGGCAUGCGUUCCAUUAGCUUGUUGGUGAGGUAACGGCUCACCAAGGCCACGAUGGAUAGGGGAACUGAGAGGUUUAUCCCCCACACUGGAACUGAGACACGGUCCAGACUCCUACGGGAGGCAGCAGUGAGGAAUAUUGGUCAAUGGAGGCAACUCUGAACCAGCCAAGUCGCGUGAGGGAAUGAAGGUCUUAUGGAUUGUAAACUUCUUUUGCAAGGGAAUAAAGUGGGGGACGUGUCCUCCUUUGCAUGUACCUUGCGAAUAAGGAUCGGCUAACUCCGUGCCAGCAGCAGC
rnacentral:rRNA from 1 species